AGCUUUGUGCAGUGGCAGUAUCGUAGCCAAUGAGGUUAAUCCGAGGCACAAUUAUUGCUAAUAAUAAAAAAAAAAUAGCAGCAAAUAAUAAUUAAACAGAAACUCUCAACAAUUAUGAUAAACCAUUCCUAAGG